GACGAAGGGGGCUAGCGUUGUUCGGAAUUACUGGGCGUAAAGCGCGUGUAGGCGGUUGCCCAAGUCGGGUGUGAAAGCCUUGAGCUCAACUCAAGAAAUGCACUCGGUACUGGGUGACUAGAGGACCGGAGAGGAUAGUGGAAUUCCCAGUGUAGUGGUGAAAUACGUAGAGAUUGGGAAGAACACCAGUGGCGAAGGCGGCUAUCUGGACAGUUCCUGACGCUGAGGCACGAAGGUCAGGGGAGCAAACGGG
rnacentral:rRNA from 1 species